GACGAACGUUGGCGGCGUGCCUAAUACAUGCAAGUCAACUGAAAUACCGGUAGCAAUACUGGUAUGGAGGUGGCGCACGGGUGAGUAACACGUAGGUAAUCUGCCUUCAGGUCUGACAUAACCCAUCGAAAGGUGAGCUAAUAUCAGAUGAUGCAGCGGCUUGACAUCAAGACAGUUGUUAAAGCUUCGGCGCCUGAAGAUGAGCCUGCGUCUGAUUAGCUAGUUGGCGGGGUAACGGCCCACCAAGGCUGCGAUCAGUAGCUGGUCUGAGAGGAUGAUCAGUCACAUUGGAACUGAGACACGGUCCAGACUCCUACGGGAGGCAGCAGUAAGGAAUAUUGCUCAAUGGCCGAAAGGCUGAAGCAGCAACGCCGCGUGAGGGAUGAAGGG
rnacentral:rRNA from 1 species